AGCGAACGCUGGCGGCAGGCCUAACACAUGCAAGUCGAACGAACCCUUCGGGGUUAGUGGCGGACGGGUGAGUAACACGUGGGAACGUGCCUUUAGGUUCGGAAUAACUCAGGGAAACUUGUGCUAAUACCGAAUGUGCCCUUCGGGGGAAAGAUUUAUCGCCUUUAGAGCGGCCCGCGUCUGAUUAGCUAGUUGGUGAGGUAAUGGCUCACCAAGGCUACGAUCAGUAGCUGGUCUGAGAGGAUGACCAGCCACAUUGGGACUGAGACGCGGCACAAACGCCUACGGGAGGCAGCAGUGGGGAAUCUUGCGCAAUGGGCGAAAGCCUGACGCAGCCAUGCCGCGUGGAUGAUGAAGGUCUUAGGAUUGUAAAAUCCUUUCACCGGUGAAGAUAAUGACUGUAGCCGGAGAAGAAGCCCCGGCUAACUUCGUGCCAGCAGCCGCCGUAAUAC
rnacentral:rRNA from 1 species